GGGCUGCAAUCAAAAAUUAAGAAAAAUAUAUAAGGUAUUCUUCUCGAAUAAAUAAUUAGAAUUAUCUUAUAGGUAUGAGUUUUAGGUGCGGUUACAACUUAUUGUACCAAAGUCAUGAAAGCGUAUGGAAUGCAAUGACUGUGUUGGAGUCCCACAUCGAUGGGUUAAAAUGUCCUAGGUCUCCUUAUAUGCUCUUGGAAAAUCCUCCCCUCAUGAGCACUUUUGAGGUUGAGUUUGGUCCAAGGUCCAUUUCUUUAUCAUGGUAUCAGAGUCAGGCCCACCCAGUUCAUUGUUUCCAAUGUUGGCCCCCCGCAUUAUAUUGUCCACGCUCCAGAUGUCCAGUCCUGGGCGUGCGGGGGUGUUGGAGUCCCACAUCGGUGGGCCCAAGGAUACUUGGUCUCCUUAUAUGGUCUUAGGCAAUCCUCCCCUCAUGAGCUAGCUGUUGAGGUUGAGUUAGGGGGUGUUGGAGUCCCACAUCGGUGUCUUAUAUUGUCCACGCUCCAGAUGUUCAGUCCUGGGCGUGCGGGGGUAUUGGAGUCCUACAUCGGUGGGUCCAAGGAUCCUUGGUCUCCUUAUAUGGUCUUAAGCAAUCCUCCCCUCAUGAGCUAGCUGUUGAGGUUGAGUUAGGGGGUGUUGGAGUCCCACAUCGGUGUCUUAUAUUGUCCACGCUCCAGAUGUUCAGUCCUGGGCGUGCGGGGGUGUUAGAGUCCCACAUUGGUGGGUCUAAGGAUCCUUGAUCUCCUUAUAUGGUCUUGGGCAAUUCUCUCCUCAUGAGCUAGCUUUUGAGGUUGAGUUAGGCUCAAGGUCCAUUUCUUUAUCAGCAUGGCCCAUUGUAUGCUAUGUGGAUUUGAUGUGCCAUUCCUCACCACACCUCGAAAAAAUUUAAGAACAAUGACAAGCAAUGAGAAUUACCCCGAAAUUAGGACAGCC
rnacentral:lncRNA from 1 species